UACGUAGGGGGCAAGCGUUGUCCGGAAUCAUUGGGCGUAAAGCGCGUGUAGGCGGUCCGGUAAGUCCGCUGUGAAAGUCGGGGGCUUAACCCUCGGAUGCCGGUGGAUACUGUCGGGCUUGAGUACGGAAGAGGCGAGUGGAAUUCCUGGUGUAGCGGUGAAAUGCGCAGAUAUCAGGAGGAACACCAAUUGCGAAGGCAGCUCGCUGGGACGUUACUGACGCUGAGACGCGAAAGCGUGGGGGAGCAAAACAGG
rnacentral:rRNA from 1 species